UAAUGCGAAAAGAAUAGGUAGAGUUCGACAGCCUUUCAAUUUUCAUGAAUAAGACGGAGAUAAAAGAUCGAUCGCCUCUUUCAUUCCAAACGGGUUGGCAAUGUUGUCUGUCAAAAAGCGAUGCAUUUAGUGAUGAAUCAAUCUUGGUAAAAAGUAGACGUACGUUUUUGUGGCAUAAAGUAGAAUAUUGCUGUUUACAAUUAAAACGCUCUGCGACUAUGCGAAAAUGUUUUGAAGAGGCCGAAAGAUUUUAGGUCUACUAAAUAUCCCAGCAAUCGAAAAUGAGGAAGAAUUAGUGUCAAGUGUUGGACAUUGAUUCAGAUUUAUUGGUAAGGCACUUACUGUGUCCUUCCUUAUUACUAUUUGCAAACAUAGGUAAGCGCAAACCUAAUCAACGGUUGUUUCAGAAUUCACAAGAUCAAGAUAAUACCUCGUUAAACAAAGAAAAUAUUAAUCAUUCGAACGAAAACUUUGAUAUGAUAUUAAGUUAUUUAGAAAAUCGAGCCAAGACGACAUUAUUGAGAAUACGCCGAUGACAGAUCAGUUAAAAUACAGCAGAGACAAAGUAAUUUUCAGUUUAUUUUCGACUUAUUUAUCUUUUAUUAUAUUUCUCUAAGUUUUUUUAUUUAUUUGCCCUUUCAUUUCUUUGCAGCUACAACUUGCAAUUAAUUCUGCCUUACAUAAGCGUAGAUGCUGCCUUAAUAACAAUUUGGGGACAAUAUCUCCAAUAUACACUGAUGAGAGUGAUGUAGAUGACGAUGUCGCAGAUCCAACAUUUGUUUCCGAAGAUCAACUUACUGAAAGCUGUAGAAGGAGGUUUAAAUUAGUCCCGGCAACCUCUAGUUCUUCAGAUUCCGAGCCUGAAGUUGAGAUUGAGCAAAAAGGUCGUAAACGAACCCAGUGUCUACAAAAAUGGAAACAAAAUAAGGCAAAACAAUUGAGAAAUCUUGGAGAAAAAUAUGUAUUCCUUUCUAAAACUAAAAAGUCGAUGCCAAGCUGUUGUCUUAAAAUACCAUGUGAAGAGAAAUGCCACUUAAAAUGUUUUCAAAAUAUUAACACUGAGGAAAGAUAUAAGAUAUUUCGUAAUUUCUGGAAAUUAGGUGAUUUAGGUGAGCAAAGAGCUUUUAUCAAUUAGUCUAUGGUUGACCUGAUGCCCAAGUAUGCAGAAAUGCAUAAAAUGAAUAAACACAAAUGCAGAAAAGCCAAG